AACGAUGUCCAUCACCUGCAAAUACGAGGAGAUCUAGGUGCCCCAGGUGCAUAAGAGCAUGUGGUGUGACUGCUGUUGGGCAGCCGUGGUGGUGGUAGUGUUAUCUCAGUUUCGGCCACAAUUCCCUCAGGGCUAGGAGAACUGAAUGACAGACAAGCUGGAACCAGUAGGAACAACACUUAAGCUGGAGUAUCCGGGACAACUGAGACAUGUAUCAGUUCUUCUUUUGCUUGUAAGCAUCAGCUGCAAAAUGGGCAAGGAGAACGACUUAAUGGCAGACAAGAUGGAACCAGUACUUAAUCCGGAGUACCCAGAGACAACUGAGACAUCUAUCAGUUCUUCGUUGCUUAUAAGCAUCAGCUGCAGAAUGCUGCCGCAGCUGAUGGAGGACGAAUGGCUAGCGGCUCGGCAUGGUUUUGGUCACCGGCACCAGUAAACUGAUAAUACCAGGAACCCAGUUGCAGAGGACGGACGGCAAGCGUCGCUGGUAAGCGAGGACUAGCUGGUGUUCCUCAAACCCACGAGCAAAGGGCGGAGGAGCUGGUUGGUCUGCAGCAUGGUGCACCCUUUUGUCGUUGCUGCAUGUUGAGAAGCUAUGCUGGAUCGAUUUGUGAGCGGAUGAUGUGUCAAGUGGGUGGUGUUAUUAUUAUUGGUUUUGCUGUUUUUGAUGUCUGACAGUGAAGUCAAGACCUCAUAUAGUUCCAUGGUUUUGCUGUGUGACGUGGAGCUCCAAAAAAGGAGCAAAGGAAAUUGGAAAAUUUCAAGUUUCAAAUUUC